rnacentral:rRNA from 1 species
UACAGAGGUCUCAAGCGUUGUUCGGAUUCAUUGGGCGUAAAGGGUGCGUAGGCGGCGCGGUAAGUCGGGUGUGAAAUCUUGGAGCUUAACUCCGAAACUGCAUUCGAUACUGCCGUGCUUGAGGACUGGAGAGGAGACUGGAAUUUACGGUGUAGCGGUGAAAUGCGUAGAUAUCGUAAGGAAGACCAGUGGCGAAGGCGGGUCUCUGGACAGUUCCUGACGCU